AAAGUGCGAUACGUGGUGCGACCUGCACGAACCUGUGAGUCAUCGAAUCUUUGAACGCAACUUGCGCCCCCGGGCAUGUGUGUUUGAGCCGGCGUAAAGAAACUGGAGUACCUAACUCUGUGCUGGGGGACGACGCGUCGCCCCCGAAACGCGUGUCUGCGGUGCGACCAAGACGGUGCGAGGGCGCGAGUAGCAUCGCGCCCGCUGCAUUUGGUCGCGCCAACACAACCCUGCCGCUCAGCCACACAAGAUUACCCGCUGGACUUAA
rnacentral:misc_RNA from 1 species